CACGCUGGCGGCGUGCCUAAUACAUGCAAGUUGAACGCGUUUUUUCAAUCAUCGUAGCUUGCUACACCGAUUGAAAAUUGAGUGGCGAACGGGUGAGUAACACGUGGGUAACCUGCCCAAAAGAGGGGGAUAACACUUGGAAACAGGUGCUAAUACCGCAUAACCAUGAUGACCGCAUGGUCAUUAUGUAAAAGAUGGUUUCGGCUAUCACUUUUGGAUGGACCCGCGGCGUAUUAACUUGUUGGUGGGGUAACGGCCUACCAAGGUAAUGAUACGUAGCCGAACUGAGAGGUUGAUCGGCCACAUUGGGACUGAGACACGGCCCAAACUCCUACGGGAGGCAGCAGUAGGGAAUCUUCCACAAUGGGCGCAAGCCUGAUGGAGCAACGCCGCGUGAGUGAAGAAGGUCUUCGGAUCGUAAAACUCUGUUGUUAGAGAAGAACAUGCGAGAGAGUAACCGUUCUUGUAUUGACGGUAUCUAACCAGAAAGCCACGGCUAACUACGUG
rnacentral:rRNA from 1 species